rnacentral:lncRNA from 1 species
UACCCGCUACAUCGAGGGGGAACCUAUGUUAAGCUACCAUUUGUUACGAAACAUGUUAUCAAUGUAAAUAACGGUGCAUUAAACGAUUGUUUCUUCUUCGCAAUGUUGGGAAAGUUCGUCCCGAAGGAAAAGAAGAAUAAAUAUCGUCCGGAAAAUUAUGUAGAUAUAAUCCAUCGUUACGAUUUCUCCGUCGUUCGAUAUCCCACUAGUAUAGAUGAUAUCAUUAAAUUCGAAAAAAGAAACGAUGUAUCAGUUUCCGUGUUUGGACUCCGGGAGAGUUCGGAGUCCAACAACAAGAAAAAAUACACAAUAUAUCCAAUAAAAGUUGCCGACCCGGAGAAAGAAGACCACACGGAUCUGCUUUGCCUUUCAACGCCGGUUCCAUUAAGUUACCAUUAUGCCUGGAUCAGUAACUUUGAACAACUUGUACGGAGCCAAUUGACAAAAUCUAAAAAUCGUAUCUACAUCUGUAAGAAAUGCUUUACACACAAGAAGUCGAUGGAGGAAUUGAAACAACAUAAAGUUCUUUGCUCUUUAGUCAGCAAAGACGCGUUCAUAGCUUCAUUUCCCGACGAGCGAUACCUCAAAUUCGAAAAUCACCACAAGGAAAUAAAACAUAAUUAUGUAAUUUAUGCAGACUUUGAAGCCUACUUGGAACAACUUCAUGGUGACUCGGAGCAUCCAGCGUCUGCGUACAGGCGUCACAUUUCAAAUUCUUACGCUUACCUCCUCGUCACGGAGGAUCCCGAAUUUAAAAUGACGGAACCGAAACUGUACCGUGGCGAGGAGGCACAUAUCAAAUUUCUGGACGAUAUAAUCACUCUGGUAGAAAGAAUCAGUAAGAGUUACAACGACAAAGAGAGUAAAAUAAUCAUGACAGAUGAAGACCGGGCCUCAUUUGAAGCGGAAAAUAGGUGUGGACAUUGCGAGGUGGAUUUCUCACAACCAGGUAUCGUAAAAGUGCGGGAUCAUGACCAUCAAAAGAGAGCGGGAGGGAAAACAAGGACCAAUUAUCGAAAGGCGCUAUGUUCAAAUUGCAACCUAAUUUUCCGACAUGAAAAAUGUGUUAGAGUCGUCCUGCACAAUGGAAGUAGGUACGAUUUCCACGAGGUAACGCUGGCUCUGAACAAGUAUCCUCAUAACGUUGAAAUAAUACCACACACGGAGGAAAAUUACGUCAGCAUGACUGUCCAUCUGGGCAACAGGUUUUCGAUCAAGUUUAUCGACUCGUUCCGUUUCCUCCCCGCAUCGUUGGAUAAACUGGCUCAGACGAUCCCGCGCGAUUCUUUCGUUCGCACGAGGAAGCUCACUCGCACAGAUAAUGAGUUCGACAUGGUUUGUCGGAAAGCUCCGUUCCCGUACGAUUACGUUGACAAUCCGGCCAA